CAGUUUCUCUAGUCUCUCUCCAGCGGAAAAACUAAACCCUAAGGUACUGUCAACACAGCGCCGGCCACCUUCACUCAAUCACCAACUACCAUUGUAAUGCCUCAUCCCUGAACCAGAGAUCUUUGUGAUUCUUUUCCUUCUGCUUUAUUUGAAUCGAAAAAGUAUAUUUCUGAUGGAAAACAACAACAACAUCAACUUGAUGAAAUCAAAAACCAAAUCCCAAUUGAAAUCAAGGAUGAAGAUAAAAGCGAAGGUAAAGUAAAACGAAGAAAUGGUUAUCAACUAAAUCUGGAGAAGAUGUAUUCUCUGAUACUAUUACUGAUGUUACAUAAUAAUUGAUAGGAUUUUAAGAAUUUUGAUGUCAUUAACAUGGCAUUCAGUUAAAAAUCCCUCAAUCUUUUAACCCUAACUUUGAUUCUCAUCUCAAAUCUAUCAAUAACCAUGUAGAUCUGUGCGUAUAAUUAGAUUUUAUUCAUUUAUCAUCAUACAUAGAAGUUCAUGCUUUUAACAUAAGACCGGUCCAAUAAUGGACACCCCCAUGGUUCAAAGUAGGAUGAGGCCCUGCAAGAGAGAUUUAAGGAUUCAUUAGAUAAUGGAAUGCAUAAUCAAAGACAUAAAGACUGAAAGACAUGAAAACUAGGGAGUGUGCAAGAAAAAAUUAGGACCUGUAAAACUUAUGAUCUAACAAUACUAAAACAGAGAAAACAUAGAAAAAGAAAGCUAACAGGAUUAACAGCUGAAUCAUGGAAAGAAGAAACAUGAUCAUAUAGAAAACAUUUAGAAAGAUAUCAAAAGAACAAAGAUCAAAGAAAGAAAAGAAAGAAAAAAUCACAAAAUUUCAGAAGUUCCUAAAGUUGUCAAUUUUAAAUAUAAUUAAGAAGAAAGUUAAGGUUUAUUUUGAUUUUGAGUAAGAGGGAGAUUUAUGUUUAAUUGUUAAUGAAAAAUAAAUCUUUGUUACAGGGCCUACAGCCCAUGGAUGUGCGGUCCAAAAGGAUAGUCUUUCGGUCUUUUCUUUUCCAUGUAUAUAAAGUAUUUAUCCAUGUAACUAUACUAUCUCUAAUGGAAAGUCCUUCUCUUUGUGCC